GCGAUAAAAAAGUAGUUGUGCCGAGAUAAACUGCUUGAGCCAUCUUGAAUGGUUAUAAAGAGUUUACAGAUAUCGAUCCUCUUUAAUCAUUGACCAAUUACGCUGAUAGGAGGAAUUAAACCAGGGAACCUAUCAAGCCUUGGUGCCUUUUCUUUUAACAAACUUAUCACUGGGGCUUUGAUUUCCUCCUUCAAGAAAGUUCUUUCAAAGUUUGAUAAGUCACUUGGCUCGUCGUUAUACAAGUUUCCCCAAUCCAACUCAAUCUUCGUUUGAAUGCUUGGAUCACCAAAGAGCUCAAAAAUGUAAUUGAUUAAUGAUUUCUUGAUUGCUGCAAGGCCAUCCAUUAACUGUCCAUGAUGUUCUAUUUGGCUAAUUUGAUCUUUCUUUCUUUGAGCACUUGCUUGUAUAUGAAAAAACCUAGUAUUCCAUUCCCUAUGCUUCAACAAUUGUAUCCUUGAAUGCUAUCUCCAUAGAAUUCUUGGCUUAGUAUAGAUUCUAAUGCCUUUGAGCUAAGUUCUCUUCACUUGUUCAUCAGCCUAUUAGGCUCCUUACUUCUUCUUGUUCAUCUAGUCAAAUUAUGCUCUUCCUAGUUUAACUUUUCUUCACCAUAAUGUUCCCAUUUCAAUUUUUGUUCCAAACUAUCAUUUUGGAUUUGAGGUAUCGAAGCUUCAAAGCCAUGUUUGUUGUUCCACGAUUCUCUAACUAUUCUGGAAUAUUGAUGCAAAAGUUUAGGAGUUAUGUGUCAUGCUCUCUUGUGUUGAAUGAGUCAAGCAUAGGUGUCCCAUGUUCCUUAUUUUACUCUGUUCUGUUACAACUGUUUCAGCAUGUUGGUUCUAAAAACAUUACAGGUCUUGUAAUGCCUAUAAAAUGGCAAUGUUCAGAGAAUGAAGUAGUCUUCUUUGAGUUCAUUUUUGUGAUAGAGAGUUCCUCUUAUUGUCUUCUCUGAUUUCAGCUCUGUAAUAAUGCUUUGGAGAGUGAAAUAGCCAACAAGUUUAUUGGUAUUAGAGCCAAGUUAUGUUCGUGGCAUGAGAAGAAAAUUUUGCUGGUGUGUUUCUGCAGCAGUAGAAGGUGAUUUAAAGUUACAGGCUGAAGUGCAAGUAAGCAUAUAGAAGUGAACUGGAAAGAUAAAUUCUGUGCUCUACAGUUAUUUGACAAAAGUUCUCUAAGAGGUUUGUCAUGGCAGCAGCCAAUGUUAAUAGUCUGGACCUUUCUUGAUCCUUGAUUCCUAUUUUUAAUGGUGAAUGUUAUGAGUUUUGGGAAACUAAAAUGAGGACUCUCUUCUUAUCUCAAGACUUAUGGGAUCUUAUUGAGAAUGGCUAUGAAGAACCAGGUGAAGGGGCUCAUCUUUCUUCACAACAGAGAAAUGAAUUGAAGGAGAAUUGGAAGAAGGACUCAAAGGCACUGUUGCUGAUACAGCAGGCAGUUCAUGAAUCCAUAUUUCCAAGGAUAGCAGAACCUGCAAAAUCCAAAGAGGCAUGGACCAUUUCAAAGAAUGAAUACCAAGGAUCAAACAAGGCGAUUACUAUUAAACUUCAAAGUCUUCGUCGUGAUUUUGAGACUUUGUUAAUGAAGAAUUCAGAAUCUGUGCAAGAGUUUUUCCCUAGAGUUUUCACUAUUGUUAACCAAAUUCGAGCUCUAGGAGAAAACUUGUCUGAUCAGAGGGUAGUUGCAAAAGUAUUGAGAAGUUUACCAUCUAAGUUUGACUAUAUUGUUGCUGCUAUUGAGGAGUCUAAAGAUUUAAGUACUUAUUCUCUUAAUGAACUGAUGGGAUCUAUGCUAGCACAUGAACAGUGACUUAACAAGUUACAGAAGAAGAAUAUUAAGCAAGCUUUUCAAGCAAAGCUGGAGGUUUUCUCAGAAAAGGUUGAACAAAUGACUAGCAAACCUACAACUAAGGGUCGAGGGAGAGGUGGAUAUGAUGGUUGAGGCCUUGGUAGGGGUCGAGGUCGUGGUCAAGGAAGAUUUGAUGCAUAUCAAGAUAACUCUACUAAGCAAGGAGGUAAUCGUUACUCACAUGUUCAAUACCAUUUUUGCAAAAAGAAUGGGCAUACUGAAAAGUUUUGUUGGGAAAAAGUAAGACAUCAAGCUAAUUUUAUUCAAGAAAAGAAAGAGGAAAGUAAUUUGUUUUUCACUAAUCCUAAUGGAGAACAAAGCAAUGCUGAUGUUUGGUUUCUAAACAGCAGUUGCAGCAACCACAUGUCUGAUGUGAAGGAAAUUUUUCAAAAAAUUGAUGAUUGUAUAAAAUUGCAGUUGUGCCUUGGUAACAACAAGCAAGUUCAAGUUGAAGAUAAAGGUAUGAUUAUGAUUAACACUAAAUCAGGAAAAGAGAAGUUCAUUCAUGAUAUGUUAUACAUUCCUGGUUUAGUGCAUAAUUUGAUUAGUGUUGGACAGCUAGUACAAAAAGGGUAUUCAAUUUCAUUUCGUCACAAUAAGUGUGUCAUUAGCAGUAAAAAUUUUGAUGUGCCUCUUAUGGAAGUUUGGAUGACUGCAAACAAGAUGUUUCCUUUUAAAGUGUCGGGAGUAGAUUAUGCUUUGAUUGCUAACAUGAAAACAGAUUCAUGGCUGUGGCAUAGGCUCUAUGGGCACUUAAAUUUUCUUGGUCUUAAGUUACUACAUGAGAAGAAAAUAGUGGAAGGGUUACCUUCAAUUGAAUAUGAAGAUGGAGUGUGUGAAGGAUGCAUCUAUGGGAAGCAUCAGCGAGCAUAAUUUCCAGUUGGAAAGUCAUGGAGAUCAAAGAAACCUCCACAGAUAAUACACGCUGAUAUUUGUGGACCAAUGCAAACACCAUCAUUGAACAAUAGUAAGUACUUUCUUUUGUUCAUUGAUGACUAUAGUAGAAUAUGCUGGGUAUAUUUUCUAAAGCAGAAAUCUAAGACUUUCUUUAAGUUUUUAGUUUUUAAAGCUUUUGUUGAGAAACAAUGUGGCUAUCUUAUUCAUAUUCUUCGGAUUGAUAGGGGAGGUAAAUUUUGUUCUAAUGAAUUUUGUGAGUAUUAUCAGUUAAAUGGAAUUAAAAGGCAGCUCACAGCAAGUUACACAUUGGAGCAAAAUGGUGUAGCAGAGUGGAAAAAUAGGACAAUUGUCAAAAUGGCCAGAAGCAUGCUAAGAGCAAAAAAUCUACCUAACUCCUUUUGGGCUGAAGCAAUAGCCACUGCCAUCCAUCUUCUUAAUAUAUCUCCUACAAAAGCAGUUUGGGAUCAGACUCCAUAUGAAGCUUGGUGUGGUGUGAAACCCAAGGUAUGUGGUUUAAGAGUAUUCGGUUCAAUAGUAUACGCACAUAGCUCUAAAAAGCAUCAAAAGUUGGAUAGCAAAAGUAUCAAAUGCAUAUUUGUUGGCUAUAGUGAUGUAACUAAAGGUUAUAGAGUGUAUGAUCCUGUUACUCGCCAGUUGCAUAUAAACAGGGAUGUCAUUUUUGAUGAAGAUGCAUGUUGGAAUUGGAAUGAGAAUGAGCAGGUGAGAACUAUGGUAGGCUUGAAAUUUUCUCAACAACCUAGAGUGCAAAAUCUGGAGAAUUCUUCAAGCUCUUCAUCAAAUAGUUCACAAAGCAGUACACCAUUAAGCAAAGAUUCUGAUAGAUCAAAUGAUCUAGCUUCUCAAGUGAUGGUGCAACAAGAAAGGUGAGGUCAUUAAUAGACAUUUACAAUUUCUGCAACUUUGCUCUCUUUGCUGCAGAACCAUCAUGUUUUGAGGAAGCUAAUAGAAAAGGAAGAAUGAAAAUAAUCUAUGGAGGAGGAAAUUUCAGCAAUAGAAAGAAACCAAACCUGAAAACUAGUUGACUUACCUGAAGGAAAAGAAGCUAUAGGCCUUGAAUCUUCCGAACAAAGUUCAAUGCUGAUGGAAGUGUGCAGAAACAUAAAGCAAGACUUGUUGUAAAAGUGUAUGCUCAACAGUCAGUUAGUAUGGUAUCAAGAUUCAUGCAAAAGCCAACGAAGCAGCAUGCUGGUGCAGCAAAAAGAAUCCUAUGCUAUGUUCGUGGAACUAGUGAUUAUGAGCAAUCAUUUGGACCUCAAAGAAGCAAACUAUCGUUGCAUUGUCAUCAUCUGAGGCUGAAUAUAUAGUAGCAGCUUCUUCAGCUUGUCAAGCUAUUUGGGUGCGACAAAUACUUGAAGAUCUUCACCAGCCUCAAUAGGAAGCCAUCAAGAUCUUUUGCGACAACAUGGGAGCUAUCUUAAUGGCAAAAAAUCCUUGUCAUCAUGGACAGGCAAAGCACAGAUAUACGCCAUCACUUCCUACGAGAAGCUAUUAAUAAAGGGAUGAUUGAGAUGAAGAGUUAUCCAACAAGUGAACAAACAGCAAACAUCCUGACAAAGGCUCUCCCUCCAGCAAAAGUUUUAUAUUUUAGAAAGCAUCUUGGUGUAUGUGAUUUUGCAUCAAAGGGGGGGUGUUGAAUAUUGAUGCAAAAGUUUAGGAGUUACGUGUCAUGCUCUCUUGUGUUGAAUGAGUCAAGCAUUGGUGUCCCAUCUUUCUUAUUUUGCUCUAUUCUGUUUCAACUGUUUCAGCAUGUUGGAUCCAAAAACGUUACCGGUCUUGUAAUGCCGAUAAAAUAGCA